AGAGUUUGAUCAUGGCUCAGGAUGAACGCUAGCUACAGGCUUAACACAUGCAAGUCGAGGGGAAACGACAUCGAAAGCUUGCUUUUGAUGGGCGUCGACCGGCGCACGGGUGGGUAACGCGUAUCCAACCUGCCCACCACUUGGGGAUAACCUUGCGAAAGUAAGACUAAUACCCAAUGACGUCUCUAGAAGACAUCUGAAAGAGGUUAAAGAUUUAUCGGUGAUGGAUGGGGAUGCGUCUGAUUAGCUUGUUGGCGGGUAACGGCCACCAAAGCAACGAUCAGUAGGGGUUCUGAGAGGAAGGUCCCCCANAUUGGAACUGAGACACGGUCCAAACUCCUACGGGAGCA
rnacentral:rRNA from 1 species